rnacentral:lncRNA from 1 species
UUGCAAGAUGGUCUGACAAUAAGUUCUACAAAGCUACAGUAGACUUCACUGGAACAGCUGACAAAACGGUGGAUACCAAGAAGGCGACAAAGAAGGACAUGAACAAAAGAGAUGCAGCUGCACAAAGAUUCUACAACCUUCCAUUCCUACCUCAAGCAGGCCAGUCCACCUCUGCACAGGAUCACCUAAAUACUGUGGACCAAAAUGUCAUUCAGCCUCCACCUACAGGGUCAUUUCUACCUGUCCAGCCACAGCACCAGCAUGCAACUGCCUGGCCACAGUACCAACUUCCAGUUUCCCAAUCAUCACCAAAUACGCCACAACAUUACCAGCAUUCAACAUUCCAGUCGCUCAACCAGUAUCGAACUACUCUGUCUGCAAUUCCACACAAUUCCAGCCUUUCGCAGUAUUCCAAGCAUCACCAGCCUCACACAGCACUACCCACACCUUCAGACCAAACACAACAGCAGCCUGUUUUGGCAGAUUUGGAUCAGCGAAGACAGCCACCAGCUCCUACAGCCAAAGAAAGCUUCCUCAAAAUGUUGUACAGUCCUAAUACACAUCAAAAACCUGCUGUUCUUGGGGACCAGAGCCAGACAAGCACCUCUGAACAUGAGACUUCAAGCUCAUCUGCAGAUGCUUUAAUCAUCGAGCGUGAUCCAAUUCCAGAAAGAGAACCAUGUUUCAUUUCGCCUGAGUCAGCAGAAGACAGAUCAUGGAAGCCAUGCGAAGCAUGCAAGACAGAGGUGGAAAAAUUAGUGGAGGAAAAGGCCAAACUGCAUGAUGUGCUGUGUGGUGUAAGUGGUGAGCACCUGGAGGCAUUCAGAAGUUUUCUGGACAAAGUGGAACAGAUCCAACCUCAGGCUGGUGUUUGGGCUCCAAAAGGCAGAUCUCGGCAGCGGGAGCUAUAUCCAGGAAGUGGCCUCUUCUUGUCCUCUACUCACCUGGCUGCAAUCCAUGCAACCGCAAAGAAGGACUGCCUUCGCUUGUUCCAUCUUCUUUUUGAUGAAUUCUUUACUGCAGAGGAGUGCCAGAAUGCUGUGGCAUUUGGGAAACACGGAAAGGUGCCAGAUGGGAAGAGAGUCCUGGAUAAGUUCAAAGUCAAUGCAAUUCUAACUUAUGUCAUGCGCUGUAGUACACUGGAUGGUUGGACACCGGUUGAAAAAAGUAAGGUCAAGAAAGCCUUCAUAAACUGA